rnacentral:rRNA from 1 species
CUUUGCUGGCGACCGGCGCACGGGUGAGUAAUACGUAUCCAACCUGCCCUUUACUCGGGGAUAGCCUUUCGAAAGAAAGAUUAAUACCCGAUAGCAUAAUGAUUCCGCAUGGUUUCAUUAUUAAAGGAUUCCGGUAAAGGAUGGGGAUGCGUUCCAUUAGGUUGUUGGUGAGGUAACGGCUCACCAAGCCUUCGAUGGAUAGGGGUUCUGAGAGGAAGGUCCCCCACAUUGGAACUGAGACACGGUCCAA